rnacentral:lncRNA from 1 species
CCGGAGGUUAGAACGCCAACACAGAGACAGAGGAAGGUACCGGACAUCCGGCUUAAAAGAGGUGCAUCCGGCGGCAACGGAGCAGUCCCGGAAGUGGAACGUCAAGGAUAUAGACUAUUAAAACAUCAAAUAAUUCAACUUAAACAUGAUAUCUUGGUUACUGCGGGUAUGAUUCUGCAAAACAUAAAGGGAUGGUGCAUUCUAUCAGUGUGUUUCAUGGUUAGAUAAGUAUGAAACAUGUGAAAUGCAUUAUAUUCACCCUGUAAUUGAAGGUCAAAAUUGUAACGAACCAGUGUGAGCCAGUACCUUACUUAGUGUAUUGUUGGUCUUCAGGAGCUGACGGGUCAGGAGACAGAUUACCUGCCUUCCCCAGCACUGGAUUUGGGGGAAUGUACAGCCUCCCAUUCUCCUUGCCAGAGCCGCCACUCCAGCCGCUGGGCAACACAAAGAGAAGCAGUGCAUAUAGAGGGAAUUGUGCUCAGGGGCAUCUCUCGGACCAGGAUAGACAAGGAAUACAACUUUGAGGUAGGUAACAACACUGCAUACAGACACACACACACACACACACACACACACACACACACACAGCUCUGCUUCUGUGUGUCUGAAUAUAAUGCAGUAACGGGGCUUUUUGUCAUUCGACUACACUUGACCACAAAGUCCAGUUCAUUUGAUUAGUAUGGACAGGGCAUAACGGUAACUUUUUUCCCAAGGAGCGCAUUUUGCUCCUAAGUUGAAAAAUGUAGGAGUGAAUUACAUAGGGUAACUGCUAUUACUGUUGUAGCUAAUUUGUACAAUAAUACAAUAGUGUUGUGAAUACGAAACGUUAUGAAGUGUAAUGUUUUCUAUUUUGAAAUGCAUUCUAUUGAUCAAUAAAUUGUCAGUGAUGUUGAAUAUACAGUAGUGUAACGGAUUGCCCCUACUGUUCGGCAUGCAGGUGAACCGCGGAUUAAGUGCUGAUUGAACCAUCAUAGUGUGAAAUACAGUUUAACUGAGAGACGGCCG